rnacentral:lncRNA from 1 species
GGGAGCCCAGACACAGGACGGGGAAACGGCCAGAGGGGGCCGUCGUCUGUCUUCUCUGUCGCCCUGACAGCCUUGCUCUGUCUCAUUGACUGCUUCACCACCCCUCACAGCUUCUCCGGGUGUCUUUGGGAUGCUGCACAUCUUUCCAGGAUAGUGAACGGUCUCUGGUGCAUUGAAGCCGCAAGAAAGACUCAUUUGAGGUAGUUUGAGGAUGGACAUUGGAUCAUCAAGUGAUUCCUGGCCCCCGGAGGAUAUGCCCUGCAAGGCUACUGCUGAAAGCAGGAGAGACGUAUGAGGCUGACCUGGAUCCCACCAGGAGUCCAGAACCAAGCCCUGCUGAGCUCAUGCUAGAUCAGCUUGCCCCCAGACCACCAACAGGUAUGUGACUGAGAAGAAAUAAUUAUUUCAUAAAACCACUAAGGCUUUGUUUUUUUAAGUUAAAAUUCACCUAAGAUUCAGCAUGUUAACCAUUUUACAGCAUCCAAUUCAGCAGUAUUUAGUACACUCAUGGUGUUAUGUAAGUAUCACCACUAGCAUUUUCUAAUGCUAGUGCUAGGCUUCAUACCCACGGGGAUGAUUUUCUAGCUCUAGCAUUUUCAUCACUCCUGAAGGACACCUAAAACCCACUAAGCCUUCACUUCCCAUUCCCCCCCUCUUCCCUAGGUCCUGCCAAACAUGAAUCAGCUGUUUCCAGGAAUUUUUCUCUUCUGGAUGUUUCAUAUGAAUAAGAUUACACACUAUCUAUCCUUAGCAUAACUGUUUUGAGGUUCAUCUAUGUUUUGACAGGUAGUACCUCGUUCUUCUUUAUGGCCGAAUAAUAUUCCAUUAUAUGGAUAGAUCAUAUUUUGUUAUCCAGUUGAUAGACAUUUGGAUUGUCUCUGCCUUUUAGCUAUUGUGAAUAAUGCUGCUCUUCACAUUUUUGUACAAGUUUUGUUUGAACAACUGUUUUCAAUUA